UGGGGAAUUUUGGACAAUGGGCGAAAGCCUGAUCCAGCAAUGCCGCGUGUGUGAAGAAGGCCUUCGGGUUGUAAAGCACUUUUGUCCGGAAAGAAAUGGCUCUGGUUAAUACCUGGGGUCGAUGACGGUACCGGAAGAAUAAGGACCGGCUAACUACGUGCCAGCAGCCGCGGUAAUACGUAGGGUCCAAGCGUUAAUCGGAAGUACUGGGCGUAAAGCGUGCGCAGGCGGUUGUGCAAGACCGAUGUGAAAUCCCCGAGCUUAACUUGGGAAUUGCAUUGGUGACUGCACGGCUAGAGUGUGUCAGAGGGGGGUAGAAUUCCACGUGUAGCAGUGAAAUGCGUAGAGAUGUGGAGGAAUACCGAUGGCGAAGGCAGCCCCCUGGGAUAACACUGACGCUCAUGCACGAAAGCGUGGGGAGCAAACAGG
rnacentral:rRNA from 1 species